AACAUCGCGCACCUGCGGGAACCUGCGGAAGGAUCAUUAACAAUUAUCCACAAAACAAAUGGGUAAUUUUUAUCCAUAUCCACCUUGUGUGAAUCAUUGAAGUGUUGGUUGGCAGGUUAAGCCGCUCUCAUUGCGGGAGCGGCUGUGGGUUUGGCAAUUGAUGUCUUGCUCGGCCUGCCAAUUUUAUUAUGUUUAACUUGUCUAAAAAUAUUGUUAGUCUGAAAUACUUACUAUAAAUAA
rnacentral:misc_RNA from 1 species